rnacentral:rRNA from 1 species
GAUGAACGCUGGCGGCGUGCCUAAUACAUGCAAGUCGAGCGAACAGACGAGGAGCUUGCUCCUCUGACGUUAGCGGCGGACGGGUGAGUAACACGUGGAUAACCUACCUAUAAGACUGGGAUAACUUCGGGAAACCGGAGCUAAUACCGGAUAAUAUAUUGAACCGCAUGGUUCAAUAGUGAAAGACGGUUUUGCUGUCACUUAUAGAUGGAUCCGCGCCGCAUUAGCUAGUUGGUAAGGUAACGGCUUACCAAGGCGACGAUGCGUAGCCGACCUGAGAGGGUGAUCGGCCACACUGGAACUGAGACACGGUCCAGACUCCUACGGGAGGCAGCAGUAGGGAAUCUUCCGCAAUGGGCGAAAGCCUGACGGAGCAACGCCGCGUGAGUGAUGAAGGUCUUCGGAUCGUAAAACUCUGUUAUUAGGGAAGAACAAAUGUGUAAGUAACUAUGCACGUCUUGACGGUUACCUAAUCAGAAAGCCACGGCUAACUACGUG